UACGUAGGGACCAAGCGUUGUUCGGAUUUACUGGGCGUAAAGGGCGCGUAGGCGGCAAUUCAAGUCAGCUGUGAAAUCUCCGGGCUUAACUCGGAACGGUCAGCUGAUACUGCUUUGCUAGAGUGCAGAAGGGGCAACUGGAAUUCUCGGUGUAGCGGUGAAAUGCGUAGAUAUCGAGAGGAACACCUGAGGUGAAGACGGGUUGCUGGGCUGACACUGACGCUGAGGCGCGAAAGCUAGGGUAGCAAACGGG
rnacentral:rRNA from 1 species